rnacentral:rRNA from 1 species
UGAAUACGAGAUGCUACGGCGUCGAAGCAGUCUAUGUCAUACUUCCAAGAAAAGCUUGCACUGUCAUAAACAAAUAAUGCCUGUACCAUAACCGACACAGGUGGGUAGGUAGAGUAUACUAAGGGGCGCGAGAUAACUCUCUCUAAGGAACUCGGCAAAAUGACUCCGUAACUUCGGGAGAAGGAGUGCCUUAUUUAUAAGGUUGCAAUAACAAGAUCCAAGCAACUGUUUAUCAAAAACACAGGUCUCCGCUAAGUCGUAAGACGAUGUAUGGGGGCUGACGCCUGCCCAGUGCCAGAAGGUUAAAGAAGUUGGUUAGUGUAUGCGAAGCUGAUGACUGAAGCCCUGGUGAACGGCGGCCGUAACGAUAACGGUCCUAAGGUAGCGAAAUUCCUUGUCGGGUAAGUUCCGACCCGCACGAAAGGCGUAAUGAUUUGGAUACUGUCUCGGAGAGAGGCUCGGUGAAAUAGACUUGUCUGUGAAGAUGCGGACUACCUGCACCAGGACAGAAAGACCCUAUGAAGCUUUACUGUAACUUGAAAUUGGAAUUGGACUUUGCUUGCGCAGUAUAGGUGGGAAGCGUUGAAGAUAUUCUUGCGGGAGUAUUGGAGCUAUCAGUGAGAUACCACUCUUGUAAUGUUAGAUUUCUAACUUUGAACCAUAAUCUGGUCAAAGAACAGUUUCAGGUGGGCAGUUUGACUGGGGCGGUCGCCUCCCAAAUGGUAACGGAGGCGUACAAAGGUUUCCUCUGAACGGAUAGAAAUCGUAUCUAGAGUGUAAAGGCAUAAGGAAGCUUGACUGUGAGACCUACAAGUCGAGCAGGGACGAAAGUCGGUCUUAGUGAUCUGACGGUACUGAGUGGAAAGGCCGUCACUCAACGGAUAAAAGUUACUCUAGGAUAACAGGCUGAUCUCCCCCAAGAGUUCACAUCGACGGGGAGGUUUGGCACCUCGAUGUCGGCUCAUCGCAUCCUGGGGCGGUAGUACGUCCCAAGGGUUGGGCUGUUCGCCCAUGAAAGCGGUACGCGAGCUGGGUUCAGAACGUCGUGAGACAGUUCGGUCCAUAUCCGGUGUAGGCGUUAGAAUAUUGAGAGGAGCCUUCUUUAGUACGAGAGGACCGAGAAGGACACACCGCUGGUGUACCAGUUAUCGUGCCAACGGUAAACGCUGGGUAGCUAUGUGUGGAGUGGAUAACCGCUGAAAGCAUCUAAGUGGGAAGCCCACCUCAAGAUGAG